GGCCGCGCGGCGGGGCCCGCGCGCCGCUCCGCGGCAGCAGCGGCUGCGCAGCGCGGGAGGGAGCGGCGCCGGCCCGGAGCCCGCUAAGGACUCGGCGUGGACGCUACACGACUUCCAGUCUAGUUACAACUCCCUGCCACCGGCUUCCACUAGGCCAGUUUGUACCCAUUACUCAUGGUCCUCUCGCUACUGCAGUUCCUGACAGAGUCCCUGUCUGGCUUCACUUAGAGCUCCCCUUCAGAUACUGGAAGGUCGCCAUGAGGUCUUCACACAAACUUCUCCAGGCCUGAAGAGCCCCAGCUUUCUCAGCCUGUUGUCAUAGGCUGUGCUCCCCUUGUUCCAAGGGCUGUAUGGUAAUGCUCAGCUCAGAUUUGCGACACGGAGACUUCCACAGCUGACAGAGACACUGAUCACCAGCAAGGUUUUUACUGCUGUGAUUUGUAAACCUUGUCAUCAGGUGUGGCUGCCAGCGUUGCCCAGAGCCACCCCGAUGCUGCAGCUUUCCCUGAGCAGGGGCUUUGCAUGGGAGGGGUGAAAAGUGUUCUACAACACAAUCACAUUUUGCAACAGUCCUCAAGAGUAUGAAUUUCUACAAGGGAAAAAUGAAAAAGGAAUCAAGCUCAGUGCCUUUCAGGGAGUCUUUGUAGACUGCAACAAAACCAGAUGAAAAAGGCAUUUCAAGACCACCAACAGCGCAGCAACAGACCUCCAGGUCUUGAUGAAUGAAGCUUGAGCCCAAACUCAACUUACAGCUUUGUUAGGACGUGAGUCUGUAACAACCAACUUACAUCAUGUUGAAGGUAGGUAUUUAAAGGAGGUUUAUUUGGGCUAAUACUAAAUUCAAACAGCCACAAGCUCAUUUUCCAUGUUUACCACACCAACUGCUGACAGAUGAAGUCUCAGUGGAAAGUCCAAAUUUUAAUUUCACCGUAACUUCCUGAAACAUGACUACAGAUUUCAAUAUUUGGCAUUUGAUCCUCAAGAGAGAUACCAUGUUUAAGAACAUUCUACCAAAUACAUUUAAAUUAUGACUUGAAACCAAAACAAUUUGGAAGUUUUGAAACAUAAAACUGUUAGUAUGAAAUUAGUUUUUAUUUUUUUACCUCAAAAUAAAUGCACAUUUAUCAUUUAGUCAAGUGAAAACUGAGGAGUAUCUUAAACAAGGGGGAACCUUAACAGAGCAAUUACCACAAACAUGCUCAAGUUCCUUCCUUCUCCUGCUCUUGCCCAUCUCUGUUUGGCUAAGAACACCAGAAUAAUUUAAUUUUUUCUUUCUUGUCAGUUUGGGCAAUUAAAAGAAACACUUAAAGCACCAGAAUCAGAAGUGGUAUAAAACAAAACCAGGUACUUCUUCUCAUCAGAAUUCAGGCCUAUGUGUUGCCACACUUUUUAUAUAAAACUUUCACUAAGUGUUGUACUAAAUAGGAUUUAGUAAUUUCUUCUGCAGUUUAGCUCUUGAUAUCUUGGUAAGAGAAGUCAAUGCAUAAGCAUGUCAGAAGUCAACGCUAUAGUGUAACUACAGUAUAACUCUAACAGGGCUUCUAAA